AGACCGAUAGCGAACAAGUACCGUGAGGGAAAGAUGAAAAGCACUUUGGAAAGAGAGUUAACAGUACGUGAAAUUGUUGGAAGGGAAACGCUUGAAGUCAGACUUGCUAUUUGGAGUUCAGCCGCAAGGUGUAUUCUUCAAUUUGCAGGCCAGCAUCAGUUUUUAGGGGUGGAAAAGGGUAUUGAGAAGGUAGCAGUCUCGGCUGUGUUAUAGCUCUUUACUGGAUUCACUCUUGGGGACUGAGGAACGCAGUACGCUUUUUGCAAGGCUUUCGAGCUUUUCGUACUUAGGAUGCUGGUGGAAUGGCUUUAAACGACCCGUCUUGAAACACGGACCAAG
rnacentral:rRNA from 1 species